rnacentral:rRNA from 1 species
CUGAAUAACUGAGCAGAUCGCUUCGGUCCUAGUACCGGCGACGUAUCUUUCAAGUGUCUGCCUUAUCAACUUUCGAUGGUAGUUUAUGUGCCUACCAUGGUUGUAACGGGUAACGGAGAAUAAGGGUUCGACUCCGGAGAGGGAGCCUGAGAAACGGCUACCACUUCUAAGGAAGGCAGCAGGCGCGCAAAUUACCCACUCUCGGCACGAGGAGGUAGUGACGAAAAAUAACGAGACGGGUCUCCUUGAGGUCCGUCAUCGGAAUGAGAACAAUCUAAACCCUUUAACGAGGAUCUAGCGGAGGGCAAGUCUGGUGCCAGCAGCCGCGGUAAUUCCAGCUCCGCCAGUGUAUAUCUAUGUUGUUGCGGUUGAAAAG